CAAGGUCUUGGUCUUAAACCUAAUAUUACCUGUACCCCUGACUAUACAUGCAAGCCUCAACAAGACAGUGAAAGUGCCCACCCCACCCGGGGUGGGGCCGGCAUCAGGCCCAAGCAACUUACCCAUGACGCCCAACAAAACCACACCCCCACGGGCCUGCAGCAGUAAACAACAUUGGGCCAUAAGUGAAAGCUCGACCCAGCAAGAGUGCAUCAGGGCUGGUUAAUCUCGUGCCAGCGACCGCGGUUACACGACAAGCUCAAGGUAAUACCCCCGGCGUAAAGCACGACCAGGCAAACGUAGUAAGACUUGAGGUAGAACAAAGGCCGGGUCGUAAAAAACCAUAAGCCAAACUAAUCACACCGCCCCAACACACUACUACCCCAACUCGUGAAAAUUAGGGCCCAAACUAGGAUUAGAUACCCUACUAUGCCUAAUAGUAACGCAGUAAUAAAACACUAAUUACUCGCCAAACCACUACGAGUGAAAACUUAAAACUUAAAAGACUUGACGGUACUUCAAACCCAACCUAGAGGAGCCUGUCUAGUAACCGAUAACCCGCGUUUAACCCAACCCGCCCUAGCCUAAACAGUCUAUAUACCGCCGUCGCCAGCCCACCCUGUGAAAGAAGCAAAGUGCGCCCAAUAGUUCAACACUAACACGACAGGUCGAGGUGUAACUCAUGGACGGGGUCAGAUGGGCUACAUUUUCUUUAAUAGAACAAACGAACAAGGACGUGAAAUCAGCCUUCAAAGGCGGAUUUAGCAGUAAGCAUACGGCGCAUAUUACCCAGCUGAAACUAAUGCAAUGAAGUGCGUACACACCGCCCGUCAUCCCUGCACAACCAACCAACCAGUCAUAAAUAAACCCACACUACUGUGUAAACAGGGCAAGUCGUAACAUGGUAAGCGUACUGGAAAGUGCGCUUAGAAA
rnacentral:ncRNA from 1 species